CUCUCUCUUUUUUCUUCGACAAUGUAGGUAUGUUUUGGUUAUGAUAUUGUUUUUUUUGGUUUUCUGGUUGUUUUUUAUUUUGAGAUUUAUUUAAUAUUAGUUUUUGAUGUGGAUUUUGGCUUGCACUUGAGAUCUAAGGAACAUGGAGGAUAAGUAAAACAGGUGUUUUCUUUUCCACACUUUUUUUUCACCUUUAUGUAGAUACAAAUUUUGUUACAUGGGUUUUCUUAAACUUCAUUGAGUACUAAUUAAAGAUGAAACCUUUUUCUGUAAUAUCCAGUCACGGAGCCAUUACUGCUUACUUGAUCGCUCAAUGCUUUUAUGUUCAUAAAUUUUGAUUCUUUUCUGUUCAAUGGUUUAAUGGCAGUUUAUGGUUUAGAAUCACAAGAUCAUGGUGAAUUACAAAGCUAGGGACGUUUUGUUCUACGAACUAUUAUGGUUUAGAAUAACAAGAUCAUGGUGAAUUACAAAUCUAGGGACGUUUUUUUCUACGAACUGUUAAAUGGAAGUACAAUCCGUCUGUAUAAAUUUCACUCUCAAUGCAUGGUUGUUGUAAAGAUUGAUUAAAUUUUAUCAUUGCUUUCGUCAGUGGCCAAGCUAUGGAUAUGUAACUAUGAAAUUCAGAUUUAAAUUUGACAGCAUUGUGAUCUUUCAAUAGAAGAUUUAGAUAUACAUAUAAUUGUUGUUUACCCUAUCAUAUUUGCAGAAUCAUUUUCAUGCUAAUUCAACUGAAAAGUGCAUUGGCAUGGAUAGAUGUUGCUCUUCCUUGCCUUAGAUCAGUAACUUGGGUCAUGGAGAAUCAGUCGUCAUAAAUCCCAAGGUAUGUCCUUAAUUAAUUCACUUCUUAAAUUAUUUUGGAUAUUAACUAUAUAGAAGCCAAUUAUAUAGAGACAAGAAGCCUUGAAAGACAUAUAUUUGCAUCCCGUGCAUGAACAAAUAAUAUUAGAACUGCCCCAUACACUCAUUGUCAUCUGUGUGGCUCCAAACAUACUAUUAAUUGAGCAGUCUUUGCCUUUCAAGGCUCCAUCUAUUUUUAUCUAAAUACCUUUCAGUGCAUGCAUAAGUUCUUCAAGUUGCUGUUUACUGGAAUCAAUAGUAGCAUCAGCUAUAUGUGUUGUUGUUUACAGAAACAUUUCUUAAUAGCUCUUUUGGUGAUACAAUGAAAGAUGGAGGUAAUUCUCUCAUCACGUUUAUCUCAUUAAUCAGCUAUGCAACCACUUUCUGAAGUAGAGUCAGUUCCCAAACAUUGGUGUAGGCAAUCUAUUUGAUUGAAAGACACAUUUUCAAUGCAACACUGCAUCUACUUAUGCUUAAUUAUACCUAGAUAUUCAACAUCCAUUUGCUAAACAUAUACCUAGAUAUUCAACAUCCAUUUGCUAAACAUAUAAGUUCAUAUAGUUUUCUGCAAAUUUUGAAAGUUGCUUAGAAAUGGGUUGAGAUAUGCAGGUAACGGCAACAUGCUAUUGAAUUAUAUUUUUUACAAACCAACCCGAACUGAACCAUGGUCAAUUUUAUAAUAGAAGUGAAACCCCAGGCACAUUUUCGUAGUUACUAGCGGACCAGUUAGAAUGUUUGCAAUUAUUCUUGAAAAUUUUGAUUUAAUUUCGAAAGUUGCUUAGAAAUGGGUUGAGAUAUGCAGGUAAUGGCAACACGCCAUUGAAUUAUGUUUUCUACAAACCAACCCUAACUGAACCGUGGUCAAUUUAUAAUAGAACUGAAGCCCCAGGCACAUUUUCGUAGCUACUAGCAGACCACUUAGAAUGUUUGCAAUUAUUCUUGAAAAUUUUGAUUUCUUAUAGAAGAUACAAAUUUUAGUUACUGGCGGACCACUUAGAAUGUUUGCAUUAUUCUUGAAAAUUCAUUGAUGUCGGAUAGAAGGUAUAAAUUUGAAUUGGAUUUUGCAAUCCCGAUAUAUCUUUCUAAUUAAUUUUGCUUCAGCACAAGGUAUAAACAUCCAUUAAACUUUGAGUUUCUGCAUAACAGUGUGGUUCUUUCCUCAUUGUGAGUUUGCCGCCAUCAAGUUACUCCUGCUCUACAAGAAAGUGACUUACAAUUCCACCAUCUAAAUGCACGAUAAGUUAAUUUCAAAAUUAAAUACAUGAUAAGAUUAUUUGUCUACGACCAUUACAAUGUGAAAUUGCAUAUUCACUGACUUUUUCUUAUGUCUAUCAGGGACUUCCAAUUCCAUAAGCUCAUUCAUCAAAACAAUGAUGGAAAUAGACGUCUCUGUGAUGAACCUCAUGUGAAACUAUUAAUUAAAUUAUAACUGAACUGGAUUAGUCUUUAUAUAUCUAACUUACACACCAGAGUAAUUAGAUAUAUGACUACUAACCCAAGUACAGUUAAACCACAUACACCAUCAACUGUAUUGCUAUUGGGUGUUCUAACACAAUAAGUAUGCUCUCUAAAUUAUCAAUAUUGUACAACUGCCUUACUGUGCAGGAAACCACAUUCUGAACUCUCAAAUAGUUCAGAUCCAAUUUGUGGUUUUGCAAAGUAUGUAAAUCAAAUACAUUAUGGUGUAUAUCAGAGGGAAGCAUUGCACAAGAGCAAUAUGAGUGCAAUUCAGAGUUUGUUACAUCGGAGGGAAAAUUAUCUAGAUCAGCAACCUUGACUGAGUUCAAUAAGUGUCAGCUGGAAACAUCAAUGAAGAAAAAACCAUCUUUGGAUUUCAGAAGUACUGAAUGUGCAAGGAUCAUUCAUGUUUAAAGGGGUAGAUUUGCACGUAUUUUGCUUUCUUUGUAUUUGGAUGUUUUAAAUAGUGAUUUCGACUAAUUUUCCAUUUGUAGUAGUGUUAAUGACAUAGUACAACAAUAUAGUGGUAAUGUAGUGGUAAUGUUCUUGCUUGGACAGUAGAAGUUAUGACAAGCUUUCAGGUAGUCAUUUACCAAGCAACAAUCAGGGCAUCUUGAUUCUUGAGUGGCGGUGUUAAAGGCUGGAGUAGUGUCUCUACCAGAAUUUUGCUUGAGCAAUGCCUUCACUUAUGUAUUAUUUUUUCGACAUGUUAGUUAAUUUACUCUGGUUUGAGUUUUUGAGUUUUCUUAAAUUAGUUUUAGUGAUGCAGACUACGCAGCAAGGAGCAAUGAGGACGGUGCUUUGAUAAUUCUUUAAUUUGUCGCCUCUGGUAAUUAAGCUUAUGAUGUGUACGUUUGGAGGAAUUAGUUGUAAUUGCCAAUUUGCUAUACUAUGCUAUUUUAUAUACAGUCAGCUUUGUCAGUUUGAACUUUGUGCAGUACUUUUCAGCUUCAUACAUGAUUUGAGUUAUUUUUUACGGAAUAACUAUCUUAUGGAUACAACUGUUUUGUGUUUAUCCCAAAUACUUAAACGGAUGGUUAUUUUGAUAUGUAAUUGAAGAGUUUCUUAUUUUGCAUGUAUAUUUAGUUUGUAGGAAAAGACUGGUGAAGUAGUCAAACUUUUAUCUGAAAUCCGCAGGACAUGCUUUCCACUAUCCCACUAUUACUAUGAGUGAGCUACAGGAUUCGUACAUGAUGAAUCAUUGAAGCCUAUAUGAUUUUGAGUUACUUAUGAAGUAAAUGAAAUUAGCGAUAGCUUUCGAUUAGUAAAGAAAACUUUAUUGAGGUACUGCAUAUCCUUAUUUAAUCUCUAUAAUUGUAUACCUUUGGAUCUGAAAAAGCUCGAUACCUUUAGAACUUGCAUAUUCUUAUUACAGUAUCUUAUAAUUCUUUAGUUAUCACACAGUCAUUCAGCAAGCGAUGGUCGGACAGUGAAUAUCCCAUUCACCAACCAUCUUGCAGAUUAUACCACGUGUUUAACAAGGUGGUACUCUUAUCAGAGUGGAUGCUCUAUCUACCAAGGACCUUCAAUGUGGCUGCCUUGGAUAAUUUUGUCUUUCACUUGGAUUUUUUACUUCUGUCAUUGUAGACCCAGCUGACCUCUUAGUCGAUUUCGCAGGUCACACAUAAUCUUAUCCUACCUUUGCAGCUGAAUUAUAAGUUUGUUAAGAGGAACUGCAGGAAUGGAUUUUUAAACGUAGGUGUGAGAGGAAUUGCAGGAGUGGCACCUGAUUUAGAGAGAGCUGCAAAAGAACAAGGUGGAGAAUCUAAUUCAAAAGGUGGUGAAAGUACAGAAAAUGAAAUUAUCUUGAUCAAGGGAGCACUCAUCUCUGUUUAUGAAAAUAACGUAUCUGCAAGGUUCGAGGAUGAACUCUGUGGCGUUAUCAAUAUCAACAAAAACACCUGAUUCGCGUUUGCCACAAACUGAUGCACUAAAUUGCGAGUGGUUAACGGGGGAAGGAUUCGCCACAAGGGCAUAAUAAGACCAUAAAGGUUAACGGGGGAAGGAUUCACAAAGAGAUGCUGAUCAAAGUCGGUGAUCCGAGGUACUUGCAAUGCACACUGUUCAAGAAGGCGAGAAGGUUGUCGCAGAACUUGAUAGAUAUGUAGGUGAGCUAAACAUUUGCAUGGUAUAUUUUCUGAGUAUGGUCACUAAGUAUUGUGAGCGUGGUGAAUAUUUAUUGGUUACAUAUUACUUCUUUAAACAGACUGUCACAUGAUUACCCUAUGUAUAGCCUAAUCGGAUUUUGAACAAACGUUGAUGAUUUUCAGUAACUAAUGCUAUAGACAUCUUCCUUGCUUUUGCGGUUGAACCUAUCGGCAUAUAGACAAGAAUGUUUCUAGCAUUAGGUUGUGAUGGCUUCUAAUGCAGGAAUGAGAAUAUGAAGGCCCACCACUUUUCGUACUGAUGCAAAGGAUAUCUCCAUCCACUUUUCAGUUCAAGAAUAUGAAGGCCCACCACUUUUCGUACUGAUGCAAGCGAUGUCUCCAUCCACUUUUCAGUUCAACCUCUCUGUUCGGAGAUAUAUAAAUUAAGAUACUUGUAGCAUUUUUUUUUGUGAAACGGUUGUGAUACGAUAUACUCCUUCCGUUUCUGAAAAAAAGUAACUAUUACUUCUUCGAUUUGACCUAUUUUUAGGCUAAAAUGAAAAGUGAACAGAGGUAGUGUAUUGUUUUCAGAAAUAUUGAGGCUCCAUAGUUGGAGACUUAGAAAUGGGAAAAAUACGGUUUAGUUCAAAA